rnacentral:tRNA from 1 species
GGUUGAAUGGCUGAGAAUUAGGCAAUAGAUUGUAAAUCUAUUUAGGAGGGGUACCUCUUCUACCA